GCAACCAUGACUUUGAUCCCCAUCUUCAUCUACACACUGGUCCUCUGGACUCAAGACUGCCGUGGUCAGGUUACUGUAACUCAGACUCCUGCAGUGAAAUCUGCUCUUCCAGGAGACACAGUCACCAUCAGCUGUAGAACCAACCCUGCAGUGUAUUAUGACAGCAGCAAUGGACAUUAUCUACACUGGUCAAUGCAGAAACCUGGAGAAGCUCCUAAACUCCUGAUUACAUAUGUGAACACAUUACAGUCAGGAACUCCAGCUCGUUUCAGUGGUAGUGGAUCUGGAUCUGACUUUACUCUGACCAUCAGAGGAGUCCAGACUGAAGAUGCAGGAGAUUAUUACUGUCAGAGUUACCAUAGUGGUGGUGUGUUCAUGAGGACUUUUGGUAGCGGCACAAAACUCUCAGUUGGACAUGCAGCUGUCUGAAGGGAUUAGGGACUCAGUGAAGAGGAACCAGAUACACUGAUCCUGGAUCAGCUCAUGGGCAUAGAUAAUAUGUUUAACCAUCCACAUACAGUUUGUACAGUUUUUCAGAUGUAAUACCAAACACAUACAAAAUAAAAGUCAAUUCUAACAUUG